rnacentral:rRNA from 1 species
GAUGAACGCUGGCGGCGUGCCUAAUACAUGCAAGUCGAGCGAACAGACGAGGAGCUUGCUCCUCUGACGUUAGCGGCGGACGGGUGAGUAACACGUGGAUAACCCACCUAUAAGACUGGGAUAACUUCGGGAAACCGGAGCUAAUACCGGAUAAUAUAUUGAACCGCAUGGUUCAAUAGUGAAAGACGGUUUUGCUGUCACUUAUAGAUGGAUCCGCGCCGCAUUAGCUAGUUGGUAAGGUAACGGCUUACCAAGGCAACGAUGCGUAGCCGACCUGAGAGGGUGAUCGGCCACACUGGAACUGAGACACGGUCCAGACUCCUACGGGAGGCAGCAGUAGGGAAUCUUCCGCAAUGGGCGAAAGCUUGACGGAGCAACGCCGCGUGAGUGAUGAAGGUCUUCGGAUCGUAAAACUCUGUUAUUAGGGAAGGACAAAUGUGUAAGUAACUAUGCACGUCUUGACGGUACCUAAUCAGAAAGCCACGGCUAACUACGUG